UUUUUUUUUGCCAUAACAUGUACUAGCUUGACGUUGGAUCUCAGUUCCCAGACCAAGGACUGAACCCAGGGCACAGUGGUGAAAGGGCUGAAUCCUAGGCCACCAGGCAGCUCCCCUGCCUGCUUCAUUUUCAUGGCAAAUGAUCUAGUGUGCUAGUUUCCCCCUACGCUUCAAUGCGAGUUCCAUGAUGGAUACAAUUUCGUCUACUAUAACUGAGCAUCUCCAGACACUGCAACGAUGCCUGACACCUAGUAGAAAACAGCAGCAAAACGAAAGGCACAUAAUAAAAAAUAACAUUAAGUGUUACUAUUAUGGCUCUGGUGGCUAUUUACUUAUCCCUUGUUCUGUGAGGCUGUGACGCUCUAAUUCACUGAGUCCUCACGAGUCCACGAGGAAAUCAGCAUUAUCACAUUCAUUCUAGGGAUGGGAGGAAGUGAGCUGCUCGGAGGUCAGGGACGCCCCAGGGGUACAGUUAACACAUGGAGACCAGGGAUGCAAAGGCGGGCAGGUGGGGUGACCUCUAAGACCGGGGAUCCAAAGGCAGGCAGGUGGGGUGACCUCUGAGUGUUAGGGGGAGUCUACACUCAGUAAGUUUGCUAAACAAACGAACACAGCCAAGUGCCAGGCAGCGGGGAGCUGAGCUGUUGAGGAACCGGAGACAGGCCUCCUCACUCUGCAAUGGGAUUCCUGGUGGGGGGUCCCCCCACUUCCCCUUCCUUUGUCAAGGUGCCCCUGGGCCACGAACUGCCCGAGGGACUGAGGUCAUAGCAAUAAAUGGGGGAAGAAAAUCUUUGAUUUCGGAGCCCUACCUGAGGAUGAGGGCAGAAAUGGGCCGUUAGGUAAACAGGCAAGAAAAUAAGCCAACCUCAGACAAGUGUCAUCAGCAGAUCAAAGCAAGUAAGGGAACCGACAGACACAGCUGUUUUGUAAACCCACACGGGGCCACAAAGAGAAUUUCCUUUCCAACAGGGGAGUCCCUACAGAAUACAGGGUUUCCACGGCACUGCUGUCGCCAUAGCCAGGUCAGCAAGCAUGGUGAGGCCUCCAUGUGUCAAGUGGGGUUGAUUAUGGCUGCGGAACUGAAAUGGGGCCGUCCAGCCAUGCGGCACUGGAGGACGCACCGCGUCUGGGAAAGCAGGGCUGCGCUCCUUAGAAGAGCUUCAAGGUCACAGAGCUGGGCCGGGUCUACAGUGACUCCAGGAGGAACCAAGGCCUUUCCCAACCAAAGCGUUCCCAUCAGUGUUUCUGCAACAUAAGAACACACAUGCUCGGGGUGCCUGCUGCACCAUAAAGUAGAAAUAAACACGCCUAAGCAAACCCGGGGCUCAGGGCCCCACACAGAAGACUUCCUGGGGCGCGGGGCGGGGACGACGGGGACCUGGGUCUGUUCCUGCACACCAUGAUGCCUCAGGGUUCAGACCAGAAACUCGGACCCGCCUCGACUUUCUUACACCUGAAAACCGUAACAUGAAACUGUCCCACGUCGCAGAGGCGGCAGCUGAGGAUCAAGAAGAUACUCGCACCUCCUCACCCCUGCUAGGAGAUGCGAGGAAAAGGGCAACAACAGGUGUUGGGGAGGCUAUGGAGAUACUGGAACCCUCCAGCACGGCUGGCGGGAAUGGAAGAUGAUGCCAGGAACCUCGGACAACAGUCUGGCAGUUCUUCAAAAGUUCAACGAAGAGGAGUUUCCUGGUGGCCUAGCAGCUAAGGACUCAGCACUGUCACUGCUGUAACUCGGGUUGCUGCCGUGGCUCAGGUUUGAUCCUGGGCCAGUGAACUUCUGCACGCCAUGGAUGUGGCCAAAAAAAAAAAUCCUUUUUCAAGUUAAACAAAGAGUUGCCUUACGAUGUGGCAACUCCACUCUUAGAUACACACCCAGGAGAAGGAAAACACGCCUUCACAAAAAAACAUGUGCAUGAGAGCCCACGGCAGCACAAUUCCUAAGAGCCCAAAAGAAGAAAUGUACCAAAUGCCCACCAACUGGGGGGUGGAUAAACCCCACGGGACACUUCCAUAAAGCAGCAUGUUAUUUGGCUGUAAAGAGGAAUAAGAUAACGAGGCAUGCCUGCUACGACAUCGAUGGAUCUUGAAAACACUAUGCUAAGUGAAAGAAGCCAACUGCAAAAGGCCCCUUAUUGUAUGAUUCCACCUACCUGAACUGUCCAAAUCCACAGAAACAGAAAGCAGAUUAGUGGUUGCCAAUAGCGGAGGCCAGGGAAUGGGCAGUGGUUUCUAACGGGUACAGGGUUUUUUUUUUUGGGGGGGGGGGGUGAUGACAAAUGCUAAUUUGGUAGUGGUGAUGGUUGUACGACUCUGAAAAUAUACUAAAAAAUACUGGAUCGUAUAUUUUUUUUGGCCAUGCCUGCAACGUGAGGAAGUUUCCAGGCCAGGGACGAAACCUGUGCCACAGCAGCGACCCAAACCACAGCAGUAACAACGCCAGAUCCUUAACCCUCUGCACCAUCAGGGGACUCCUUAAUCAUAUACUUUGAAGGGGAGAAGAGUAGAGCAUUGACUGAUGUCUCGAUACAAAUAAAUAAAUAAAAUGAUGGACUCUUCACUUCUGAGAUGAAGUUCACCUGAGACUGACGUCGGCCUCACUCGCCACCUCUCGCUCUUUUGUUUGGCUUGCUCAGAUGGGAGGCAGCUGCCGUGCUGUGAGCUGCCCUUUAAACAGCCCCAAAGGCAACAGCCAAAAAAGGAACUGAGGCCCUCAGCCCAACACCAGCCAAAACCCAAGCCCUGGGCAAGAACCUGAAGUGUGAUUAAGUGUGAGUCGCCCUGGUCCAGCCCCAGUUGAAGACACCGGCUCCUCGAUUGCACCCUGAGAGAGAUGCUGAACCCUAUCCAGAUAGUUCAUCCACGGGAAUGGUGAUGGGACAAAGGGUGCUGUUUCAGGUUAAAAAGUAUUGCCCUACGUCACCCAACAGUGAUGCGCUGGUGUGCAAGCCCACAACGGUCAGGCUACUGGCUCCCUGCUGCCCUACUGCGCUAUUCAUCCCUGUGUCCUGGCAGAUGGCUCCAAGGACAUGAUGCUCGACACACAGUAGGCGCUCAUCAAGUUUUCUAGAACUGAGGGAAAUAUACCAAUUCCCGCUUCUCUAUGGGAACCUUGAAAAUGCUCUCAAUAAGGAAACAGAAUGAGAGAAAAAUACGCAAGCCUCACUGCAUUCUGUCAUUUCCCAGUCUCGUGUCUGCAGGUGACAUUCCAACCGAGACGCUCCGUGAAAGCUGGUGACCCUGCCAUGUCCCUGACAUCACGCUACGUGAGGCAGGUGCUUCUAAGAUUUGGCCCCGGGCUCUACCAACCUCACGCACGUACUGGACCCAUCACCAUCAGAGGGUUAGCCAUCCGUGCGUCCUGAGAAGCACCCGAUCCUCAUAUAUGGCAAUGCCCCAAGUGAGGACAUCAAUCACUGCUAUUAAAACAGGACUUCGGUCCAGAAAGAAUUCGCACGGCCCUUUCUUAAAGCUUCCCCUCAAACGGUCCCCAUCUCUCCCUGCCCUCUCCCACACGUCACUUUCAAGAGAGAUUUAUUACAGGGCUGUCAACACAAUCCUACCUUUACGGAAAAAGAUAAAAAUAAGCAACACCUUACAAGAAGACGCCAUGGCGAAAGCUAAAUCAUAAAUGUUUGAUAAGGAAUGGUCAGAUCCAGACAAAUCACUGUUCAAUCCCACUUUGUAUUAAGCAGAUAAAGUCAUACAGAAAAUCAAUGUGAUGUAUUGAAAGGGAAGGAAAAGAAUGCCCAGCUCAGGGAGUGGCUACACAGUAUUAGGAAGCCGUGGCUUCAUAAGAACCUUAUAAUAUGACAACAACAUAAAAUUCUUACAUUGGGGCACUGACUGCUGACGUGUGGGGCCUGUUGAUGGCAUUCGGUCUAGGUCAAAUCAGAGCUGGAUCCUUAACCCACUGAGGAAGGCCAGGGAUCGAACCUGUGUGCUCAUGGAUGCUAGUCGGAUUUGCCCCACUGAGCCACGACGGGAACUCUGGUGCCACUGUUUUCAAGGACCAUUUGGCAAUUUCUAUGAAAUGGAUCUUUUUUUUUGGGGGGGGGGCACCUGCGGCAUAUGGAGGGUCCCAGGAAUGGAACCUGCAUCCUCAUGGAUACUAGUAGGGUUCAUUACCUCUGAGCCACUCCUUUUUUUUUUUUUUUUUUUUUUUUUUGUAGCUUAUGGAAUUCUUGGAGGAAUGAAUUACUGCACACAGACCAAGUGUCCAGAGUAGGGCCUGGUACAUUAACGGGCAUCACUGAAGCAGGGGUUCACGUCAGCAUUCUGGUUCCAUCAACACUUUCUCUGGUUCCAUUAUAGAAUGGUGUAAAUACUCUCUUCUUGGGGCGGGGGGACACCUAAACUGUGGAGAAGGGUGUAAAGCAGGGCUUCUCAACUGGGGGUUGGUUUGCCCUCUGCCCAAGGGAUAUCUGGCAGCACCUACAGACAUCUUUGGCUUUUUAGGACUUGGGAGGGAGGCGGGAGCGACUGGCAUCUAGUGAGGAGAGGCCAGGGUUGCUGGGAAGCGUCCCGCAAGGCACAGGAAGGCCCUACAGCCGAGUUACCCACACCGCAAAUCAAUAGCCUGAGGGUGAGAAACUCGGAGAGAAGGUCAAACAGCAAAGUCUCUUGGCCCCUGAGUCCCGCGUCUCCCGUGUGUCCAGCACCGCUCGAUUCCUCCUCACGGGGUCGUCCCCACCAACAUCCACACUCUACCCCCCGAUGACAGUGAGCUAGUCAUAAACAAGAACAACACACCAAGAGUCAGGUGUGGCCCCUGGGGGUCCCCGGCCAUGCUCUGCUCCGCCUCCCAAGCUACGCAAGGCAAGGUGGGCUCUGCCUCCUUUGAGAAUCGCCUGCAGGGAAGAGCAGGGGGGCCUACGACCUGCACCUGCGGGGCCCAGGCUGCUGGGAGUGUGGAGACCAGGGAGGGAGGACGGCCGUGACCCAGGCCAGGCAUGACGGUGACCGCGGCCAGGGUGGUGAUGCUGAGGAGGAGGACCGUGGUUGGACCGGAGGCAGGGAGUGACCAAUCAGUGAUGGCAGGACAUCUGGGGCGGGGGAGGCACCAAGACAGUCCCUGGCUGGGGGACCCUGCAGGUGGAUGCGGGAGCAGCUGCUCAUUGGGCAGGUAGACAGGCACCAGGAGAGGGCUUGUCACGCGCAGAAUUACAUGAGGGCGUGACCCCGGAGGGCAACCUUGCUUAUCACACG
rnacentral:lncRNA from 1 species